rnacentral:rRNA from 1 species
UGAAGACUACGACGUUGAUAGGUCGGGUGUGUAAGCGCAGCGAUGCGUUGAGCUAACCGAUACUAAUGAACCGUGAGGCUUAACCUUACAACGCCGAAGGUGUUU